rnacentral:rRNA from 1 species
UACGUAGGGGGCAAGCGUUGUCCGGAUUUAUUGGGCGUAAAGCGCUCGCAGGUGGCCCGUCGCGUCGUGCGUGAAAGCCCCCGGCUCAACUGGGGAGUGUCGUGCGAUACGGGCGGGCUGGAGGCCAGUAGGGGGAUGCGGAAUUCCGGGUGUAGUGGUGGAAUGCGUAGAGAUCCGGAGGAACACCAGCGGCGAAGGCGGCAUCCUGGACUGGUCCUGACACUCAGGAGCGAAAGCGUGGGGAGCGAUCCGGAUUAGAUACCCGCGUAGUCC